UAGGGAAUCUUCGGCAAUGGACGAAAGUCUGACCGAGCAACGCCGCGUGAGUGAAGAAGGUUUUCGGAUCGUAAAACUCUGUUGUUAGAGAAGAACAAGGACGUUAGUAACUGAACGUCCCCUGACGGUAUCUAACCAGAAAGCCACGGCUAACUACGUGCCAGCAGCCGCGGUAAUACGUAGGUGGCAAGCGUUGUCCGGAUUUAUUGGGCGUAAAGCGAGCGCAGGCGGUUUCUUAAGUCUGAUGUGAAAGCCCCCGGCUCAACCGGGAAGGGUCGUUGGAAACUGGGAGACUUGAGUGCAGAAGAGGAGAGUGGAAUUCCAUGUGUAGCGGUGAAAUGCGUAGAUAUAUGGAGGAACACCAGUGGCGAAGGCGGCUCUCUGGUCUGUAACUGACGCUGAGGCUCGAAAGCGUGGGGAGCAAACAGG
rnacentral:rRNA from 1 species